UCUUUGGUUGGUCACACUGACCUGGUUCUGAUUCAGGACUAAAUACGGAAGUGGUCUACAUCUGAUUUGGGUCUGAUUAAGGACUUCAUGUGGAAGUGGGCCAGAUUUAAGUGUUCACACUACUUCUGAAGAAGUCUGACCUGGUCCGAUCUGGGCCACUGUGGCCUGCAGUCUGAACGUAGCCCA